CCCCUCUCAGUGGCCUACGCAUCGCCAGUCCUGACAACAGCCUAGCAACAACUGGCUAGAGGCUAUGCCCACCUAGACCCCUUUGAGGUCAUGGGAACACGGAGCCAGAAAUGCCUGUAGAGCAAUCUAGAUUUGAGGGGGAUGACAUUUGAACUGCGAUCUGAAGGGACAAGAGGAAGGUUUAGGCCAGCAAGUCUGGAGUAUGGUGCAAGAGAGAGAAAGAGGUGAAGACGAGAUUGGAGAAGGAGCAAAGAACCAGAUCAUGUAGGACAGUAUAGCUCAAGAUGGAGUUUCCCCUCUGUCACCAGGCUGGAGUGCAGUGGGGUGAUCUCAACUCACUGGAAUUUCUGCCUCCUGGGUUCAAGAGAUUCUUCUGCCUCAGUCUCCUGAGUAGCUGGG